AUGUCCAAUACUGACCUAUUAGAGAGAUUGAGGAAGACCCAGAAACUUCAGGGCCACAUUUGCCAUGGCUGCACCUGGAAGCACUGGAAGCACCCCGGAGGCUGUGGUAAUGCUGGUGAUAUGCAUCACCACAGGACCAACUUCAACAAAUACCGCCCAGGUUCCUUUGGUAAAGUUGGUAUGAGGCAUUACUGCUUAACAGAGGAACCAGACUUCUGCCCAACUGUCAACAUUGACAAAUUUUGGACUUUGGUCAGGGAGCAGACACGGGUGAAUGCUGCUAAAAACAAGACUGGGGCUGCUCUCAUCACUGAUGUGGUGCCAUCUGGCUAUACAAAGUUCUAGGAAAGGGAAACCUUACAAAGCAGCUUGUCAUCUGAAGGCUAAAUUCUUGAAAAGAAGAGCUGAGAAGGUUAAGGGUGUGAGGGGAGGGGGGACUGUGUCCUGGGGAAAAGGGAUGGAAGGAGUGUGGCGAGUGCUAUUGAUUGACGUGCAUUCCAACCAACCUACAACGCAUGAAAAGCGCGCGCGCGCGCGAGCAAGCCUGUGUCCAAUUACUACUCAGCGGCAGUGGCGGGGGCGGGGCUUGUGGAAACGGCCCGCCGCAGGGUUGGCGGUCUUGAGAAGCAGCGAAUAUGGCGGAGUGAGGCGUUCCGCUGUGAACUGGCCUCUGGGCCGGGGGCAGGCCAGUCCGGCCAGCCCCCGGGAGGCCGAGUGCAUCUGUUGGACCGUGCGAGGAAGAAUAUUUUCCUUGACAUUUGGGUGCUUUUAUAUUCAUCUCACAAACAAAAUUCUGAACUCAGGACUUGGCAAACUCAUUUCAGUUCUUCUGAUGUCCCUUUCUAAAAAACUGACCAAUGACCUCCUCAAGAAAACGUAGCAGCAACAUAACGGGAGAAGUCCCACGAUCAUGAAGGCGACUGCAUCAGCCACAAACAUUCGCAUCAUCUGUUUAGGCUCAUCUCUUAAUGGAGCAUAACAUUUGAAGCCAGGAGUCCCAGAUGAUGAAAAACAGCAUUUCGCUCUCAAACAUUCACACUGACGAAGGUCUUGCAGCUGACUCCAAGGAUUUACCACCUGAUUUUCCCCCAGAAUGCAAGUCGUCGGAAAUAAGAAAUCCAGCAGCACUUCCAGUACGAAAUUAUUUUCCAGACAUUGGCCGCGAUCAGGUUCACGGAUUGCCAGGCUAUGUCCAAUUUCAGCCUCCUUUGAAAAUUGAGAAUAAAGAUAGUUUCCCAUCAACAGCGGGAUCCCGAUGGAUAUCGCCGUGCACAGCACGAUCAGCCAUAAGCGUCUGUCAAACAAGAAGUUUGUCAGACUUCUCCUAGUCUCGGCCAGGAAGGCUUCCCUAGCUGGAGGCAUGGUCCGCGUUGCCGAGAAAAUGGCUGACGGGGUAACUUUCUGUUACUCAUCUACUUUCCCUAUUUUUAAAAUGUGGAUAUCACUUCUUUAUACAUUACCUCCAUGAUUUGGAAUGAAAAAGUCCACUUUUUUUUUGUUCUGCCUCUCAGACUGAACACAGAGGAGCUCCUAGGAUUCCAGUUAUCCUGCCAACUUCUCCACGAAGAAAGAAGAAACUCACAUAGGUAUUCUGCUGUUUGCUUAAUUAUAAAGACACCAUUUUGCAAGCUGAAGGCUGAGUUUCAUUUGAAACAGGUCCUUAGGUGGUGGUAUUUGUGAAUACUUUUCGUUAGGAACAAGGAGACUAAAUAAAUAGCAAGUAUGGAUGACUUCAGGGUUUAAUAACAAAAAUGUCUUCCAGUUUCAGCCACUAUCCUGAUAAGCACAGUUGAGACUGCAGCAGUAAAUUCCAAAUAUGCAUUUCUAA